GGGCGGGCCCUGCCUCGGCUGGCUCUUCUCCUCCUCCUCCCACCCCCAGCAGACGGCCGCUGGGGCGCGCGCCUCGCCUCACCCCACCCGCCUCCCCGGACCCUCCGAGGGGCCUGCCGAGCUCCGAGGCCGUGUGACAGCCCGCCGAGCGGUUCCGGGUGUAGGGUUCACAGGAGAUGGCAGAUAGGUACUUUGGACCUGUUGGUAAUGAUGGCCUGAGCUAAAAACAUCUAAUUUGAAGGGACACCCUUCCGUGUCAAAGAACAGAAUGCUGAGGAAGCUGUGGCAAGUGAUUGGAGUUGUGCUUCAAAAAUUUCAGCAGUUCAACAGUAUUUUAUCUGCCAACAAUAAGCUCUUUACUUGAUUGCACCAUGAAAAAGCUGCUAAUGAGACUUGUUGAGCACAAAAACGGACUUGAAGAACCAAAAGCCAUUGUUUUCAAAUGAAGAAUACUGAACGGUUUUAAGCCUCAGUGCUUUUCAAUCACCACUGAGGUUUUCCCCAUAGCAACAGAAUGGCAAGCAGGCGAAAAUCAACAACACCCUGCAUGGUCCUUGCCAGUGAACAGGAUCCGGACCUCGAGCUGAUAUCAGAUUUGGAUGAAGGGCCUCCUGUACUCACGCCUGUGGAAAACACCAGAGCAGAGAGCAUCUCAAGCGAGGAAGAAGUUCAUGAAUCUGUGGAUUCUGACAAUCAUCAAAACAAAAAAGUUGAAGGUGGCUAUGAAUGUAAAUAUUGUACUUUUCAAACUCCAGACCUAAAUAUGUUUACUUUUCAUGUGGAUUCAGAACAUCCCAAUGUAGUGCUAAAUUCUUCCUAUGUUUGUGUCGAAUGCAAUUUUCUUACCAAAAGGUAUGAUGCACUUUCUGAGCAUAAUCUGAAGUACCACCCAGGAGAAGAGAAUUUUAAGUUGACUAUGGUGAAACGGAAUAACCAGACAAUCUUUGAACAAACCAUAAAUGAUCUGACCUUUGAUGGUAGUUUUGUUAAAGAGGAGAACUCAGAGCCAGCUGAAUCUACAGAAGUUUCUUCAGGAAUCUCUAUCAGUAAAACUCCUAUCAUGAAAAUGAUGAAAAAUAAAGUGGAGAACAAACGGAUUACAGUUCAUCAUAACUCAGCUGAGGAUGUUCCUGAAGAGAAAGAGAAGGAAAUCAAACCAGACCGUGAAGAAACUGUGGAAAAUCCAAGUUCUUCGGCUUCUGAAUCUAAUACCAGUACUUCCAUUGUCAACAGAAUACCCCCAAACGCCGCCAGCGCGGUAGUGGCCCCAGCGGCGGUCCUUCCUGGAUUAGCGCAGGUGAUUACCGCCGUGUCAGCCCAGCAGAAUUCCAAUUUGAUUCCCAAAGUCUUAAUCCCUGUUAAUAGCAUUCCUUCCUACAACACUGCAUUGGAUAACAACCCCCUUUUGCUUAACACCUACAACAAAUUCCCUUAUCCAACGAUGUCAGAAAUUACUGUUCUUUCUGCGCAAGCAAAAUAUACAGAGGAACAGAUCAAGAUCUGGUUUUCAGCCCAACGUCUAAAACAUGGUGUGAGCUGGACUCCCGAGGAAGUAGAGGAGGCAAGGAGAAAGCAAUUCAAUGGAACAGUACACACUGUACCUCAGACCAUAACUGUUAUUCCGACACAUAUUUCCACAGGGAGUAAUGGCUUGCCAUCCAUUUUGCAGACAUGCCAAAUUGUUGGUCAGCCAGGCCUGGUCCUUACACAAGUAGCUGGAACAAACACCUUGCCGGUAACAGCCCCGAUAGCCUUGACGGUGGCAGGGGUGCCGAAUCAAACCAGCAUACAGAAAAGUCAGGCCCCCGCUGCCCAGCCUCCUGCAGAAACAAAGCCAGCAACAGCAGCAGUCCCAGCUUCUCAGCUUGUCAAACAUGAAACCGCGCUGGCAAACCCCGAUUCAUUUGGCAUUCGGGCAAAAAAGACUAAAGAGCAACUGGCAGAAUUAAAAGUCAGCUACCUUAAAAAUCAGUUUCCUCAUGACUCAGAAAUUAUCAGACUUAUGAAAAUCACAGGCCUGACAAAAGGAGAGAUUAAAAAAUGGUUUAGUGACACAAGGUACAACCAGAGAAAUUCAAAGAGUAACCAGUGCUUGCAUCUCAAUAAUGAUCCCUCCACCACCAUCAUUAUAGACUCCAGCGAUGAAACCACCGAAUCCCCAACUGCUGUUACUUCACAGCACAAACAGUCCUGGAACCCCUUCCCGGACUUUACGCCCCAGAAGUUUAAGGAGAAGACAGCAGAACAGCUUCGGGCCCUUCAGGCAAGUUUUCUCAACAGCUCCGUACUGACAGAUGAAGAAUUAAAUAGGUUAAGAGCGCAAACCAAACUGACGAGGAGGGAAAUUGAUGCUUGGUUUACAGAGAAGAAGAAAUCAAAAGCUUUAAAAGAAGAGAAAAUGGAAAUAGAUGAAACUAAUGCAGGUAGUUCCAAAGAAGAAGUGGGAGAAACUCCUCCCACAGAUGAAUCCGCUGCACCUAAGCCGGGGAGUGCAGGCAAGAUAUGUAAAAAAACACCUGAGCAGUUGCACAUGCUCAAAAGCGCGUUUGUCCGAACACAGUGGCCAUCACCAGAAGAGUAUGACAAGCUGGCUGAAGAAAGCGGGCUUGCUAGAACAGACAUUGUUAGUUGGUUUGGGGACACCCGUUACGCUUGGAAAAAUGGAAACUUAAAAUGGUACUACUACUACCAAAGCGCCAAUUCGAGUGGUCUGAAUGGUCUGUCGUCCCUAAGGAGAAGGGGGCGAGGGAGACCCAAAGGACGGGGAAGAGGAAGGCCACGCGGGCGACCUCGAGGGGGCAAGAGAAUGAAUAACUGGGACAGGGGGCCGUCACUCAUAAAAUUUAAAACUGGAACUGCAAUACUUAAGGAUUAUUACCUGAAGCACAAAUUUCUUAAUGAGCAAGACCUUGACGAACUUGUUAACAAAUCACACAUGGGCUAUGAGCAGGUCAGAGAGUGGUUUGCCGAAAGACAGAGAAGAUCAGAGUUAGGGAUAGAAUUAUUUGAGGAAAAUGAGGAGGAAGAUGAAGUCAUUGAUGAGCAGGAAGAGGAUGAAGAAGAAACAGAUGAUAGUGACACUUGGGAACCCCCGCAACAUGUGAAGCGGAAGCUUUCUAAAUCAGAUGACUAAAAUGAAAGAAUUCAAAAACGAAAACUAAAAAGAAGGGGAAAAGUAUACUGAAGGAAAGACUUGCCACAGGGGUGAGGACUGCUCAGUUUUAGAAAACUAGCUGCCUAAAACAUUGGAGGAGAAUCAAGUCUUCACUCAAGAUGUCUGAUUUACUGUGAAUGGGCCCAAUCUUUAAUGACACUGAAAGCGUUUGGGGGCAUACACAUUCUCAAAAAAUAGGAUCCAAUACCCAAAAGAAAUGGAACUUAAUGUUGUGCCAAAGUUAAACUACUGCAGCUGGUGAAAGUUCUGCAAUGUAAAUAGGACACUAAUUUAAAAACAAAUUGUAAAGAUUCAAAUUUUAAUACAGUACAUUUUUAUUCUGAUAUGAUGGAGACAUUCUGACUCUUAGACUUUCGGAGGGGGUUUAAUGACCACUAGAGCUUGUCCUCAUAUUUUGUCCAGCGUAACACUGUAUGUCUAGUAAGAUGGGCCAUAUUGUCUGUAUUCUUUGAUAUGUGAUUAAGCUAAUAGCUUUGAGUGACCAAACAUUUUCCAGAGUAAAAAUUGUUAGAAACAGGAAAUAGAAAAAUCUGACUUAUUUCUGUGUCUUAUUUAUCAGGCCCUGCACGAAAAUAAAAAGUUAUGCAUAGGCUUAUACGUUCUCAGUGUAAGUGAAAAUACAGCCGAUUGACACAUGUUGGAACAAUAAGAUUUUGUGGUAUUAUUGGCUCUUAAUGAUGGGAUCUUUCAGAGAUACCACUAUGACAGUUGUAAUGCUUCUGUUACAUUUUCUUUCAUUUGAAGCCGAAUUUACUUUUUGUUAAAUUGAAGAUAAUCAACACUGAAGAAGGAAAAGAAACUGGCAUUAAGAAUUUGGAUAGGGGGAAACUCUGAAAUAAAUACUGUACCAAUCAUAUGGAAAUCAGAAGUGUGUCAGAUCAGAAUUUUCAAGAAUUAUUCUUUCAGUGAAAUUCUACUUUGUGUAACAAUUUCAGUGAAUAGAGAAAAAAUUCUGAACUGAUCAUAAGGAGUUAAAAGUUAGCUUUUCACUUAUGAAUCAUGGAAGUGUUCAUUGUUAACUCUUGCCGUAUGAGAAGACUGAAAGUUUCUACUAACUUAUAAACUUUGUAAAGACAGGUGCUGUUCAUUCAUGUUGAAAGGACCCUUUCUUUUGUGACUAUAGGACCAUUUUUCAAAACGUGCUCUCUUCAUAGAAGAAAUGUUCAGUUCAAUUAGCUUUGGAUUUAAAAAAAAAUUUCUUCUGAAUGACCAGAUGUAGCGGGCUUGGUCAGUUUAAUCUAAUUUAAUGAAUAAUAAAUAUUAAAUUCUUGUUUUACCUAAAUGUUUGUUGGCUAAUGAAAAUGUCAUGAAAAAGCCUUGAAUAUGCAUGCUGCUUUCAUUUUUAUAAACUUUUUAUUUUUUAACUAUAGCUUUAUGCUUUAUUAGUAAUUCCAAAAUGCUGCAGUUUAGCCAAUUUCUUCACUCAGACAGCUGGCUUUGUGGGUGGCUUUUUCAUACUACUGUUAACUUUUUAAAAAAGAAGCAAUGUAAAGACUGUAACAAUUUAAUGCACUAAACUGUUCUUUCUUUUACACGUUUAAAAACUUCUUA